CAGAGCUGAAAGCAAUUUGAGCUCUCUGUCUUGUUCAUCAUUCCGUCUCGAUGAUAAUAUCAAUACAAUCCGGUCAUUUUUGUGCGAAGGAACGAACUCCUUCUCCAGGUAGACGAAGUAAAUACUCGGGGCAAUCGGUGAGACCACUUCCUGUACGUAUAUUAACAGUAGGGAAAAGGAGAUCACCAGGGGUUCAACUCUUGGUUGAAGAGUACAAAGAGAAGCUCAAGCAUUAUUGCAGUGUCGAGGAUGUUCAAAUACGAUCCAAUCCUAAAAAUACUUCCAAUGUGAAGGCCCAAAUUGAAGGGGAAGAUAUGGUUGCCAUGCAAAACAUCAGGUCUGAAGAUUGGGUUAUCUUGUUGGAUGAGCAUGGAUCAGACAUUGGAUCCGAGCAAAUGGCUGACUUGGUGGGAGAUGCAGGGAAUACAGGAUCAUCAACAAUAGCAUUUUGCAUUGGUGGACCUUAUGGUCAUGGGCAGCAACUGCGUCAUCGUGCUAAUGUAACAAUCAAGCUGUCAUCUUUGGUUUUAAAUCAUCAAAUUGCACUACUAGUGCUUCUCGAACAACUUUAUAGAGCAUGGACAAUUAUUAAAGGGCAGAAAUACCACCACUAGAGCUUCUUGCCUCAUCCCCUCCCAAUAAACUACAUAUGUAGGCUUCCGCUUUGACAUUGGCACAGACAUAAACGACAACAGGGAAUGAAAUAUGGAGAUGAGAUGAAAGCAUCAAUGCAGGAUUGGAG